rnacentral:rRNA from 1 species
UACAGAGGGUGCAAGCGUUAAUCGGAAUUACUGGGCGUAAAGCGUGCGUAGACGGUUAUGUAAGUCGGGUGUGAAAGCCCCGGGCUCAACCUGGGAACUGCAUUGGUGACUGGCGGGCUAGAGUAUGGCAGAGGGGGGUAGGAAUUCCACGGUGUAGCAGUGAAAUGCGUAGAGAUGUGGAGGAAUACCGAUGGCGAAGGCAGCCCCCUGGGCCAAUACUGACGCUCAUGCACGAAAGCGUGGGGAGCAAACAGG